rnacentral:rRNA from 1 species
GACGAACGCUGGCGGCGUGCUUAACACAUGCAAGUCGAACGAAAAUACCAAGCUUGCUUGGUUGAUUAGUGGCGAACGGGUGAGUAACACGUGAGUAACCUGCCCCUUACUUUCCUGGAUAACUGCUCGAAAGGGUAGCUAAUACGGGAUAUUCUGACCAUCCUGCAUGGGUUGGUUUGGAAAGGUUGUUUUUCUGGCAAGGGAUGGGCUCGCGGCCUAUCAGCUUGUUGGUGGGGUGAUGGCCUACCAAGGCUUUGACGGGUAGCCAGCCUGAGAGGGUGGACGGUCACACUGGGACUGAGAUACGGCCCAGACUCCUACGGGAGGCAGCAGUGGGGAAUAUUGCACAAUGGGCGCAAGCCUGAUGCAGCGACGCCGCGUGAGGGAUGAAGGCCUUCGGGUUGUAAACCUCUUUCGUCAGGGAACAAGGCAUUGCCUUUUUUGGUGGUGUUGAGGGUACCUGGAUAAGAAGCGCCGGCUAACUACGUGCCAGCAGCCGCGGUAAUACGUAGGGCGCAAGCGUUGUCCGGAAUUAUUGGGCGUAAAGAGCUCGUAGGCGGCUGGUCGCGUCUGUCGUGAAAACUUCCGGCUCAACCGGGGGCUUGCGGUGGGUACGGGCCGGCUAGAGUGCGGUAGGGGUAACUGGAACUCCUGGUGUAGCGGUGGAAUGCGCAGAUAUCAGGAAGAACACCGAUGGCGAAGGCAGGUUACUGGGCCGUUACUGACGCUGAGGAGCGAAAGCGUGGGGAGCGAACAGG